UACGGAGGGUGCAAGCGUUAAUCGGAAUUACUGGGCGUAAAGCGCGCGUAGGUGGUUUGUUAAGCGAGAUGUGAAAGCCCCGGGCUCAACCUGGGAACUGCAUUUCGAACUGGCAGGCUAGAGUACAAUAGAGGAGUGUGGAAUUUCCGGUGUAGCGGUGAAAUGCGUAGAGAUCGGAAGGAACAUCAGUGGCGAAGGCGGCACUCUGGAUUGAUACUGACGCUGAGGUGCGAAAGCGUGGGGAGCAAACAGG
rnacentral:rRNA from 1 species